GUCAAGCUGUUAACUAGUUUCUUCUCAGGUGACUGCUGAAGAUAAAGCAGGUUUUCAACAACUGUUUCAGGGACUAUUUGGUGAGUUUUUCAUCAUCAUUUUCAGCUGCAAGAGGGUCCUGACCAAGAAGAGGUCUUGAAGAACCAAGAUCCAGAGAGAAGUGAAAGGAAUCAGUGUUCCAUGGAACGGAAGUGCAUCAGGAAAGGAAAGAGAAAACAGAUUCAGACUAAAGCACGUGCCUGACAAUGUGUCUGCUGCAUUGCAUGAGGCAGCCUUGCUGCAGCCAACCAUAGUGGGGGCCCUUGUAGGUCCAAUUAAGAGGCUUAAUUGAAGAAUUCCAAGUUAGCAGACUG
rnacentral:lncRNA from 10 species